rnacentral:rRNA from 1 species
UACAGAGGGGGCAAGCGUUGUUCGGAAUUACUGGGCGUAAAGGGCGCGUAGGCGGCACGGCAAGUCGGGCGUGAAAGCCCGGGGCUCAACCCCGGAGGGUCUCUCGAAACUGCCGAGCUAGAGUGCGGAAGAGGCAAUCGGAAUUCCCAGUGUAGCGGUGAAAUGCGUAGAUAUUGGGAAGAACACCGGAGGCGAAGGCGGAUUGCUGGGCCGACACUGACGCUGAGGCGCGAAAGCCAGGGGAGCAAACGGG